UGUGGGCUGCAGACAGGAACGGGAAGGAACACCGUGUAAAUCGUGGGCGGUCUUGGAUAAAUAUUAACACUAGAGUUUUGAGUUAUGAGAAUGGCAGUCAUGCUUAUUCCUAGACUUUUCUCCUGCAAGGCCUAAGGGUUCCAUUUGCUACUUUUUCUAGUUCACCUUUUAAAAGCUCUGCUUCCCCUUAGUCCGUAGGCGCCAAACUCACCUCAGGAAAGAAUCCUCCCCUGAUUCUCUAAUGCUUCCUUCCCUGCCUGGUCACUUAGUAGUUUCAUAAACUGCACUGUCCUCAUACAUACUAGAUAUGAAAAGGACACAGACCCAGGAGUUUGUUCAUUGAGUGUAGUUGGGCACUGAAACUCCAGAACCACAAUGUAACCUGACACAUAUGCAAAACGCGGUCUGAAACUAAGCAUUUAAGUAAACUAAACGUUACUAUUUGUGCACUCAGGAGCUUUAAAAAACUAAGACAAUAUCGGUGCAUUCCUAGCCAUUAUGGCCACCACUGUUGCUAUCAUCAGCGAGGCCAGGCGCUGAAGCAAGGCAGAGGGGGAGGGGACCACUGGGAAACAAAAGAGUCUCAAAGUGGGAGGUACAGUGUCCUAGCCUUGGAAUGGCCUACAGUGGCAAAACGGUCUCAGGAGCUUAUCAGCCCCCUCAAAGCGCUGCUUCUUCUAGAAUCACCGUCACACCUACAGAGUGUUCUUGGUUCCUCCCAAAGCUGUUACAUAGAAUCUUGUUUUUGACCACAGAAGGAGGCUCUGGACAAAAAGUCUUUUGGCUACUUACUUGGCCCAGUAGUUCAUUUAAAAAAAAAACCAAAAGUCCGCAAAUAACACUCCCCGAAGUUAAGCAGGACCUCAGAUAAUAUCGGGCCAGCCCUUAAUUUGCGGCUGUGUGCUCUAACUUUGGCCUUAGGCAGCCAACUUCCGCAGGGUGCAAAUUCCAGAGCGGCGGGAGGUCGAGCAGUGCGACCCCGGGCAAGCGUUCCGGGAAGUGACCUCAAACACCGAACGACCCCGCCCCACCUUCCCCGGCCUUCCGGAUCGACCAGGGCAUAAACCAAGCACUGUAUACAAAGCCAGGUUAAAUGGACAACAAACCGUCCUCGGCAAAGGACCUCCGUCCCCAUGCCAGCCCAGCCAUGCUGGGUCAGGGAAGGAUCUGCUGAUCGGCGCAGGGCGGGCCAGAGGUCGCAGGUCCCCAGCAACGCCCCGUGAUGCUCCGCAGGACCCCGGCGGCGGGCACGUGCGGGAACCGAUUUGAUACUGUUAAAAAAUCAAAGUUUAACAGUUUGGUUGCCAUACCAGAACAUCAUUGGAAAUCACAGCUUGGCCAGUUUUCUCAUGGAAGUUAAAUCUCUGAUCCUGGAAGGAAGAACCUCAAACUUAAAAAUAGGGUCAUAUAGUUGGGCUGAAAUGAAUGGACAUCCUUCAGUUACUCUGAAUCUCCUCUGCCAGUGGAGGGAGUCUGUCUUUCUUUAAAGAGCCUGGAGCAGGCACCCUGCAUUUUUCCUUCAAAGCAUACUUUCCUUCAAAGCAACCUCCAAGCCUUCUUCUUCUUAUUACAUACACAACAAGGCUCAAGUUUCAAUGAGUGUUACUCUUGUUUAAGGAGUCUCUUGCCUUCCCUGCAGGAGAGUUCGGGCCAAGAAAACCUAACCAAACAGCAGGCUCCAGAUCCUUAAACUCAAUGGUUUUGUUUAAGAAUGUACUUAGGUGUGUCCUGUACUUAAUUUCAACAGGUAACGUUAUGACUCCUGAAUAGAAGAAUUCAUUUUAAUGAAGCAUAUCCAUGGUGACUGUUGUCCAGCUCUGGGCUUGUCAACACUGUCGCUUUGCAUUGCCAAUGGCAAGUUAAACACUUGUAGCUUUCUGGCUGCAUCCCUGGUGAUCUGGUACUUCAGUGUCAUGAAAGUCUUGGGGAGAAGAAACAGGACAUUUGGCACAGGCCGUCUCUUUACCUCUGAGAUUUGUUCUCAGUGUUUGCUGAGUCAUCUUUAGCAAAUGCCUGGGAUCAGGCUGCUGUUCUGAGGGGAAGUGUGGGUUUGCUCUAGUCCUUGACCACUGAAGGUAAGCACAGAGGGAUAAACAAUUAGAAUUGUGUAAGCAGAGUUUUUAAAAUGCUAUUCGUCACCUACACUUUCCCAAGAGUCCACACCAACAGGUGGAGUUAUUUCACAAUUAACAAUCAAAAAUUCUUUGUAAGAUUUUGACCGAUGGACUGAUACCUCAGAAUUUAAUUUUUUCUUCUUGGGUUUUACUUUUGUGCAUCUAAGUGUGUAGUUGGUUCUCAUCAGUAAGCAUCCAGUCUUCAUUUUCAUCUCAUCUUAGUUGAGAAACAAACAAACAAACAAACAAACCAACCCUGGGUUCUUAAAACCAAACCAAAGGUUCAGGCCUUCCUCACACACUCAUAAAUUCUGCCCUGCUGUAUGACAGGCCCAUCUCUGCGAUCAAUAUCCUUGCAGAAAGGUAACUGGGUAGGGUAGGUGUUCAGUUCAUAGACAAACAUCUCCAGUGAAGGACAGACAGUGGAAGAUACAUGCUUCUAUUUUAAGGCCUGAGAGGGAAUGUCAGUGCUAUUGGCUUCUUAUAUACAGAUAGAUUUGCUUAAUAUUCACCAGAGUUUCUGGAUUAUUUGAUAUAAAACUAAAUUAUUCAGAUAAUUUACUUACAAAUUCAUUUAUGUAUCUGUCCAGUGACCAGAGAUCUCUGGUUAUGAGGUCUUACUGGCAUGAGGUCUCACCAAACUUGUAGCUAAAUGCUCCUCUACUCUCUUUACAGCUCUUUACCUUUUCAUUCUUCUGCUAUUUCUCCUAUUUAAAGUCUUUCUGUCUAUCUGUCUUCAUUUCUUCCUGCUUUCUAUAUGCAAGUAUCCAUCUAUUAAGUUCAGAUCACCCAACUCAGGAAGGUUCAGGUUUUGAGUAGUCUUUGUGGCAAAGAUGGGGUAUGUGUCUGCACUUUACUUUUGCCACUAACACAACCUCCUAGGCUGGGCACGUCAGUGGUUGGUUGGAGGUACCACAGUAUGGGGCAAUUGGAGGUAUGGGGAUAACACAAGGAAUGCUAGGUUUCCUAAUCAGAUUAACUCUAUAAUGUUGGAUUCGACUUCUCACAUCUGCUCUUUCAAAGUCUGCUUUUAUCCUCUUUCAGUAUAAGUAAAAACCACACUUCCCUCUGAAACAACCUUAGUGACUGUCUCUGUCCAUUUACCAUUCCCACAUAGUGUUGGAAAAGUCUAGUUACAUGAAAUCGUGUCAACCAGAAGAAAAUAGCUUAGAACUUCCCUAGUGAGGCCAGUCUGUGAAAAUGCAAAGGCGUGUGCUUACUGUUAAGCUAGGACACUUGAGCACCAGAGGACCCAGGCUCUGUGUUUCUCAUAGAUGCCUACCACGUGAUCUCUUUUAGUUGUUCAACAUGCUCGGUCAUGCUCUCUUAAUAUUUACUGAUACUAAUGAGGGAAACCCAAGAAGCUAGGCUGAGUAUUUAAGUGAUCAGGUGGUAUGCUUUGCAUGAACAAGUAAUACUCACGUUUCUAGCUUUCUCUCCAACCUAGAGUUUUUGUAAUUCAGCCUUUGGUGCUGAACCAGAGCCAGGAGGGUGAGUGGAAAGGGUCAUUGAUGAGACAUUUAGGUGCACGUCAGACGGCUUCAUAGGAGGAAUUUGGGGAAGAUAAAAACCUUUCGGCUGUUUUGGACCACCUUCCUUCUGCAGAGCAAGUAGAAACUCCCUGGAAUAAGAGUUACAUCUGGAGUUCUACCCAAGGGCUCCUGCUGCCUCCAGACACGAGGACACACUGAGAUGUGACCUCCUUAGUUAUGGGUCUAAUGGCAAUGAGAAGUAUUUGGGGUGGGUUAAACAUUAUACGUAUUAUUUUAUGUGUGUGAGUAUUUUGCUUGCAUGUAUGUUUAUGCAUUGUUAGUGUGCCUGGUACUCAGAGUCUUUUUUUUUCUUUUUUUCUUUUUCCGAGCUGGGGACCGAACCCAGGGCCUUGCGAUUGCUAGGCAAGCGCUCUACCACUGAGCUAAAUCCCCAACCCUGGUACUCAGAGUCUUGAAGAGGGUACCCGAUCCUUUAGAAUUGACUGAGGUUACUGACAGUUUUGAGUUGCCAUGUUGGUGUUGGGGAAUUGAACCUGGGUCUUCUGGAAGAACAGCCAGUGCUUGUAACCACUGAGUAGCACCUCCCCUUAACAUUUUAUUUAUUUACUUAUUUUAUGAAUAUUUGUGAAUGCCUUCAUGUUUGUCUAUGCACAGGUGCCUGGUGCCUUCCAGGUACAGACAGUUCUGAGCUGUCAUGUGGGUCCUGGGACUCGAUCAAACCUUGGAACUCUGGGAGAGCGCGCCUAUGCCAGUCCAAUCAUGAAGUCUUCUGUUGAAGUGAAACCACUAACAGGAUAGUAUCCCCAGGAUUACGUGAUGACUACAUGACGGCUUUUUAACUUCUCAUAACACUCAACUUUGGGAAUCGAACUUUGUAGGUAGAAACUGGCAGAAUAGAAGAACCAAGAGGAAACAACACUGACUAUGGACAAGGUGUGUUGCUGCCAUGUAAAGCAACCACAUGUACAUCACAUUGUUGCUGAGAAAGGGGGUUCUUUGUUCUGAAAGUGUCUUCAACAGUGAAAGUCAAGGAGAUGUGUUUUCCUGGGACACAGUGAACUCAGUCUGUUCCUCUAUAUUGAAAGGUCUCAGGACAGAGCCUGCAGAGCUCAGGUCCAUCUUCUGUCACAGGUUGCCUUGUUGGUCUUCACAUUUUUCCUCUCAGUUGAUCACCUCAGCUUGUUCUGAUGGGCUGGGACAGGCUCAGAUUGUUUUGUGGAUACACUUGUCUGUGUUAGGUCAAGGAUUAUGUUAUUUAAUUCCUUUGAAAUUUCUACUUGUUUACACAAAAAUACAUGCUAAGUGGGUCGUUUUAAUGGAUGUUGUUUUCUUGCAGCACUGAGAACCGUAUCAAGGCCUUGCACAUGUUUACUUUCUAACUGGUCUGAUGGUUCUACCACACGGUGCACAGAACCGCGAACUGGGAGGCAAGUGACCCAGACUUGAAUCCUGUUUUGUACUUGUUAAGACCGUGAACUUGAAUAAAACUCUGAUCUUUUACCUUCCUCAUAUCCACCCAGAAUAUAGUGAGUAACCCCUCCUCUUUAUUGGGUCAAUUUAAGGAUUCAUCGAAAAUGUAAACUACCCUUUGUGAGCUGUAACUGCUAUAGAAAUGUAAUACAUAUGACCUUAAGGUGUUUACCCACUUGCCACUUUUACAAUGAACUUCCCCAUUCUUCCCCUGGGUCAGACUUGGCAUCAGGAGAAAGCCAAAGCAGUGUGAUUAGGGACCUAGGUGGACCUGCCUCUGCUGUGUCACCACCCUGUUCUGCAUAGGACCUACUUGCAGAGUCUUGGCUGUUUUCUUCAAUACAGAUUUUUAUGACAGGCUUUGAGAGAUCUGUACGGUAAAGGACAUAGAGUAUUGACCUCUCCUAGCUAUGUCUUUUGAAUAUAUUUAGUUUUUCAGAGAAUUGUGUUAGAUACUAAAGAAUCAGAAAUUAUUGGUUAUAAUUUUUUUUAAGCUUCAGUCUGGUGAAGGAGAUAGAACAUACACACACACACACACACACACACACACACACAGUAGACAGACUGUAAGUUGUGAUAAGUGCUAGGUGCUAGGAUGGAUACAAAUCAGUAGUGAUGGAAGAUAAGGUGUGUGGGAGACUUACUUUGGGCAGUUUGAGGUUGAGACCUGAGAAAAGCCGGUCAUGCAGAGAUCUGAGAUAAGAACUUUCUAGGCAUAGAGAACUUUGUGUGGGAAGAUCCUAGGGCUCAAGAAAGUUUUCUAGCUGAAAGAUGACUAAAAUGGCGAUGACCGUGGUCCAGAUGAGUUGGGAAGGGUGGACUGAGGCCAGGACUGAAAGCUGUGGGGUGUGGAAAUUCAAGAAUUACCUCACCGUCUCUGUCUCAAAGUCAAAGUAUUACCUCAGAAUAUUUGACUUUCUCAUCAGAACAUGGGAGAUAGUCUUAUCUCUGCCAGCUACCUAAAUACUGGACUUCACAUCUAGUCAACAGAUACACUAGCCUACCAGUACUACGUCCAAAUAUCUUUGUAAAUCCAUUCACUCAACCUCAUUUCUGUCACCGUGGAUAAAGCCAUGGUCCCCUUGCCCUAGACACUGUAGAAGCUGUCUGUGUAGCAGUGUGCUGGUGAAAGUCCUCAUGGUGACUACAUUGGGGAAUGUCUAACUAGUAGUACUUGCAAGUUUCCUUGGUGUCAAUAUGCACACUCUGACCUCUGACCUACCAACAUGGCGGUGUUAAAUUUAUCAUCAGGAAGAUAUUUACAGUUGACCUUCUGAUACCCUAACAAAUUGGUGGCAAUAUUCCACCACCUAGAGUGUCUGUCUGCUGCUUCUUCUAGUACACACCCAGAACAAUCUCUUAUUAUCUCAAAUAUUUUAAUAGUUGAAGACUUAGAAAUAUCUAUUAAAUUUUUUGGUAACAAAGACUUGAAUUUUUCUAUAGUUGAAGGAUGCAGAAAAAAGUUUUUUCCCAACAGUAUUUAUUUGUUAAAUGUUAUUUUUAAAAUUGUUUUAUUUAUUUACAUUCCAAAUGUUGCCUUCCUUCCUGGCCCCCCCAUCCCCACCACCAAGAGUUCUUUAGCUCCUCUCCCAUCUCCUUUGCGUCUAAGAGGGUACUCCCCCAGCCCACCACCCUCACCCAACUACCCACCCCCAGAUCAUCCCCUUCCCUGGGGCAUCCAGUUUCCACAGGAAGCAUCCUCUCCCACUGAGGCCAAACAAGGCAGUCUUCAGUUAUGUAUGUGCCAGGGACCACAGACCAGCCCAUGUAUGCUCCUUGGUUGGUAGCUUAGUCUCUGGGAGCUCCUAGAAGUCCAGGUUAGUUGAUACUGUUCUUGCCAUCCCCUUCAGCUUCUUCAGUCCUCCCCUAAUUCAUCCAUAGGGAUCCCCAGCCUCAGGCUAGUGGUUGGUUGUAUCUUCAUCUGUCUCAGUCAGCUGCUGGUAGAGUUUCUCAGAGGACAGCCCUGAACUGUGUUUGGAUCUUUCAUCCUCAAUGCCCUCUAUGUACUGUUUUGACUUAUGUCUUCACAGGUAGAGACAUCAUGAAAUGUUAGGUUAGCUUAGGUUAGCUUUGGUCUUAGAUACUUGCUGAGAACCUAGCAACCUUGUUGUUUUGGACUGCAGCCUGAAUCCACAGCGGACUCCUAGUCUUAAGGCUUUGACCGAGCUAUGCCUUUGAGGGCAAAUGAGCUCCUCUGUAACUCUGGGUGUGUACACCAGCUUUCCAGUACUGCGACAGACACCCGAGACAAUCAACCUUAGAGAGAAAGGGUUUACUUUGUGUCACAGUUUUGGAAAUCUGACUCCAUGAUCAGGCAGGCUUCUUGGUAGGGACAGAUGGCAACGGCAAGGAGCCCCUAACAGAACAAAACUGCUCACUUCGUGGUUGGGAAGUGAGUGGAAGGGACAAGAGAAACUGGUUCCCACAAUGCUCUUUGGGAGCAUGCUCCCAAAGAGCCCAAACACUUCUCACUCAGCUCCACUCUAAAAGUUCCGUCAUCCCUCAGGAGCACCAAAAUGGGGCUGCAGCCUUUUAACAAGUAGACAUUUAGAGAGGAUACUUACGAUCUAAACUCCAGCAGCCAGUGUACAAAUGAUGAAGCGUCAUUAGUUGUUGCUGCUUACGUUUUGUACUAAAUUAGGAAAAAAGUGUGAUUUGCUAAUUAUUGAUGAAGUUGUAAAAGUUUUCACGUCAAUGGUAUUGAGUUGUGAUUUUUAAUUUGGAGUGUUUCCAAGUAUUUUGUAUUGCACUCAGUUUUAAUUUGAAAUGUGUACAAAUGUGUAUUUGAAAUAUCUACAAAUAUAGGUGACGAUUAUGUUUAAGGUAAUCUUAUAGGCAUAUUUGUCUUCUACUUUUGGGAUUUAACAGAAGGAUACAGCCUGACAGAAAUGAAGGAGAAGUGAAAAGGCACCUCAGGAGAACAAAGAGACUGAAUGCAGGGGUUGGGGAUUUAGCUCAGUGGUAGAGUGCUUGCCUAGCAAGCGCAAGGCCCUGGGUUUGGUCCCCAGCUCCGAAAAAAGGAAAAAAAAAAAAGAGACUGAAUGCAAUUUUUUUUUAGUCAUCUGAAGAAUGUGAACAUCUGAUGGGUUGCACAAACAGGUCUUUGAGUCAGUAAAACCUUUGAAUUAUUGUGCAAGACUCGCAUCCACUCCACCCAGUUACGUGCAAUAUCCUCCCCCGCCCCUGCUUAACUCUGCCAAAGAGUAGAAAUGCAGUUACUGCUUCCACACUUUGCUGAUCUCGGCUGAAAGCUGAUUUGUCACAAACGUCAAGAUCCUGGUGUAAAGGGAAGAUUAGGAUAAAGAGGUGCCAAGGCCUGUAUCCACUCAUCUCUGUUAUGUAUCAGAACCUUUCAGCAUAUGAUACAUUGUAGCUGAAAUAAUGAUACCCCUGCACCUUUCAGGGCUCAAUUCCUUUAACCAACUGACCGUGUAGCAUGUGUGUGUGAUGGUGCAGCAUAUCAUUGUGGUGGGAAUGCAUGGAAGAGCCAAGUCAAUCUCCUUGUGUCUGGAUAUAAGAGAGAGAGAGAGACGGGGAAGAAGGCAGCCUCCUCUCAGAGUGAGUUUUCAUGGGCCUAAUGUUUCUCAUUCCCUCUUAAAGGUUCCACCUCUCCCAAGCUAGUGAAUUAAGCUUUACCACGUGGGCCUUUAAAGGACAUUUCAGACCUGAACUACAGCAACUGGUCUGUAACUGCAGUGCCCCAAGAUACCUGCUGGAUAUCUUGCCAGAAGCACACAUCCCAACUCCAUGGCGGCCCCGACCAGCUGCCUCACACUCCCUUACAGUUAAAUCUACACAUGAAAGAACACACAACACAAUCAUCCAAUUGAUAAGAUAUAAUUGCCCACCUAAACAUAAAAGCCCAGUACCAUCCAUCCCUUAAGAACAUUUGUAGCAACCUGUAAAGGUACAGCAUGGAAUCUUAGUGUCACCCGCCAUAUUGUCCUGCCACGGCUUCUCUCCCUCUCCCUCCUGUCUCUUCCUCUCUUUGUUCCAGUCUCCUCCUCUUCCUUCAAACUUCUCUCCCGCCCAUCCUUCCUUCUCAUCAAAUCACAGGCCUCCUUCUAUCCUGUGCCUACCCCUCACCUGUAUUUUACAAAUUCAAUGGGGAGAAGGUUCUGGUGAAGUCACCUGAGUCCUGAGUACUUGACUAGGCAUCUGUCCUUGAGGCAUUGGAAUUAACACCAAAAUACAGAUAACUCCAGGGCAAACCACAAGGGGGGGGCAACUUGGAAACUAAUGUUAGGUACUGGCCUGUUACCUGAAUUCAAACUCUAAAAUGGAGUCUGAAUUUAAAAGAUUUGGCAUCUCAUUAUGUUCUGGGUUAAGAAAUUUCCUGGGUUGCAUAAAAUUUUAUGAUGGAAGAGAAGAUUGAAAUAGAAGCAACAGGUAAGAAAUAUGCAUACAAUGAAACAUUAAUUUGUAUGAUUAGCACACAUGUACACACACACACACACACACACACACACACACACACAAAGUUUGAC